rnacentral:sRNA from 1 species
UGCUGAACCCAAAAAAUUCGACGAAACUUUUUGAUGAAAUGCAAUUGUCACGGCUUGACGACCAACCAAACUCCUGCUUCAAUCAAUCCAACAGUCGACUGUCCGAACAUCGUAACAAUGAAAUCGAAAGUACCGACAACUGGUGGCACAAUCGACGACUCAUUCGGGGCAAUUGACAGACGAGUUUCCUGCUUAAGCGGCGGCAGAGGAAGAGUCAAAGGAAGAGAUAGCAUAUAUCCCAUUCAAUCUGAUUAAUUAUGGAUUGGUGGAGGAUUGGUGUAUCAUGUUUUGAUAGUCUUUAUCUCUCGCUUACUACCUUCUUUUCGAAUAUUUCACCAAUGUUUUCGGCUCUUAUUUGAUUUGAUGUAUUUUCUCUUACUUAUCCCACACAAAUAUCUCUCGCUUUUUUUGCACAACUUGGCAAAGCGCCUACCUAGCAGAUACAUUCAAAGAUAACUCGACGAACAGCAAAA